UACGUAGGGGGCAAGCGUUGUCCGGAAUUAUUGGGCGUAAAGCGCGUGUAGGCGGCUCGGUAAGUCUGCUGUGAAAGUCCAAGGCUCAACCUUGGAAAGCCGGUGGAUACUGUCGAGCUCGAGUCCGGAAGAGGCGAGUGGAAUUCCUGGUGUAGCGGUGAAAUGCGCAGAUAUCAGGAGGAACACCAGCAGCGAAGGCGGCGCUCUGGGCUGGAACUGACGCUGAGGAGCGAAAGCGUGGGUAGCAAACAGG
rnacentral:rRNA from 1 species